rnacentral:rRNA from 1 species
AAGGAAUAUUGGACAAUGGGCGCAAGCCUGAUCCAGCCAUGCCGCGUGAAGGAUUAAGGCCCUCUGGGUUGUAAACUUCUUUUGUAGAGGAAAAAACCCCCCGAUUCUUUGGGGGCUGAUGGUACUCUGCGAAUAAGCAUCGGCUAACUCCGUGCCAGCAGCCGCGGUAAUACGGAGGAUGCGAGCGUUAUCCGGAUUUACUGGGUUUAAAGGGUGCGUAGGCGGCUUUGUAAGUCAGUGGUGAAAGCUCCCGGCUUAACUGGGAAAUUGCCAUUGAUACUGCUUAGCUUGAGUACAGUUGAGGUAGGCGGAAUAUGUCAUGUAGUGGUGAAAUACUUAGAUAUGACAUAGAACACCGAUUGCGAAGGCAGCUUGCUAAACUGUAACUGACGCUGAGGCACGAAAGCGUGGGGAGCAAAC